ensembl:lncRNA
AGUCUCUCCCCAACAAGUUGGACGCUCUAUCAGCGCUGACUUGCCAUCAGAGGGAAUACAAUGUAUCAUUAUGGGUUUUCUCAAGACAUGGGUAACUGAGCUAACUCCUGACACAAACACUACACUGUACGGAUUCCGCAUCAUAGGGACGGACAGGACAACAGAGAGCGGUAACGGGAAGGCACAAGAGAAGGCAGAGGAUGGGGAAAUAAUCAACCCUGAUGGACAAUCCCUCCGACCCCAUGCUGGACGCCCUGGCUGCACUGUAUGGCUCUUUCAGCCCCGGAUACUGGAAGAUGGCUAAAUGGAGUUUAGCCAAUCACCGCUAUUAAGGUCAAGCACAUGAAUAUACACUUCUCUAACAUGGUAAUAGGCAGCGUGGGGGUAGGGCUUUCCUCCCUGCUGGAUUCACAUGGAGAUCAAAGCAACUCGUUCACUGAAUGCCGUUGUCUCAUUGACGAAACUGUACCCUUUUGAUGUCAGGAGACAAAGACUAGUAGAGCUUAGGGAGAACAGUUGGCAGUGCAGUGAAAAAGCCCUUUUAUCAAAGCACAUCAACCAAACAUUCAACAGAGGUUGGUGAUGAGCCAGGUCCAUACCAGGUGCUGCCUUAGAGUCAAUAUUCACAAUGUCAUUAAAUCUUGCUUUCACGUUUUCUGAAUUAUUUCUAAUCAAAGUCAGUAUCUGCAUGAUUUUCACAGACCUACACAUUGUAUCUGCACUGUUAAAUUUACCACAACCCUUUUUUGUUAUAUUAUGACAUACCGGAAUUUUGUUAUUUUUGCAGCGGCUUUCAGAACAGCCCAUAAACGCAUCAUAAUGAUUCAUGAUAAAUCCAAGUUGCAGUCUACAGUUUUUGUCUGGUUUAGUCAAACCAGAUCUAAGGGAGGGGCAUAUAAUUAGGAACAAUGACCUUACAACUUAUUUUAGGCACGCUAGCCAAUCAGGGGGCAUUGCGGGGCCAUGCUGGACAGACGGUGGCCGGUGAUUGGGGGAGACGGUGGGAGGCGGGUGUUCCCGUUGUUUUGGGCGGCUAGUCAAGUUUGCUAGCGGAAACCUAGGUUGAUGUUAUUGCCGACUGCAAGUUAGAGUGAGCGUCCCGAUAGCGUGGGGUUAUGUAUGUCUGCUGCUAGAGAACUACAAUAAAGGAAUGGUACCCAAACGUCCCUUCGCCUGCGUGUGCUGAGUGACACACUACACUCAGACGCUACAAUAUGGGAAAACAUGUCACAAGGGUAUUUGGUUGACUUAUCCCCCUCCCCACCGUCACAAUGAACUGUCUCUUGGACAUUCUCUGCAGGUCAGUUGUUGAGCGUGUAUCAGUUUCACAGUACUGUCUGCAUGCCAUAGGCCUACAACAAAAAAGCAAAAGCAAGGGUGGCGUUCUUAUUGCAUUUACAAUUCCAAUUACAACAUUUCCUUGUCAUUCAAAUGCCAAUUGAGUGAGAUCCUUUAUGGAGAGCAUUGUCCGUCACACACAUCUACCAGUGGGAUUCAUAAAUUAUUGUUUCUAAACGAAGCUUUAAAGUUUAGGCUACUAGUGUUUUAUCAACAACUGCAUAUGUCUUUGUUUCAUUUCCAUCUAAAAUAAACAUACACUUAGUUUGCCUGAUAUAGCAUGCAUAUGUGCUGUUAAAAUCACUUGUCCUAUUUUGUUAUUUGAGAAUAAAAUCCCAGAAACCAAUAUGGACUUUGACUUUAAACAACAACCACAUUUCAUAUUCCACUCUCCUUUGCAUUUCCCUAAAUGCACCCUAGCUUGUUGAAGAAGC